rnacentral:rRNA from 1 species
AUUGAACGCUGGCGGCAGGCCUAACACAUGCAAGUCGAACGAGUGGCGGACGGGUGAGUAAUGUCUGGGAAACUGCCUGAUGGAGGGGGAUAACUACUGGAAACGGUAGCUAAUACCGCAUACCAUCAGAUGUGCCCAGAUGGGAUUAGCUGGUUGGUGGGGUAACGGCUCACCAAGGCGACGAUCCCUAGCUGGUCUGAGAGGAUGACCAGCCACACUGGAACGUAGACACUGUCCAGCACCCUAAGGGAGGCAGCAGUGGGGAAUAUUGCACAAUGGGCGCAAGCCUGAUGCAGCCAGGCCGCUGUGAUGAAGAAGGCCUUCGGGUUGUAAAGUACUUUCAGCGGGGAGGCGUUACCCGCAGAAGAAGCACCGGCUAACUCCGUGCCAGCCGCCGCGGUAAUAC